AAUGGUUCAAUUUUUUUUAAUUAGUUAUUAUUAUUUAUACAUGAAUUAAAUUUGUUUAAUAUCUUAUUUUACAGAUGGUAGGUCAGUCGAAGACACUUGUGCGAUCAACUGCUUCUGAGGCCUAGCAGCGGGAGCGGGAGCGGAUGACUAUGUCGGUGCGACGUAGGAGAUGUGAAGAGAGAUUGCAGCUAGGACAUCAGCUGCUCAUGUUGAGGCCGAUGACGGGCCAUUCUAUGCUAUGGAUGAGGAGCCGAUGAAGCCCGUUCAGGAGGACGAGGAGGUUGUUG
rnacentral:lncRNA from 1 species